rnacentral:rRNA from 1 species
GGAUCAUUACUGAGUUAUACAACUCCAACCCAUGUGAACUAUACUAUUGUUGCCUCGGCGGGGGGACGCCUACCCGGUACCUACCCUGUAGGCCGGCCCCGCCGGCGGAUUAUCAAACUCUUGUUUCUUUGUGGCACAUCUGAGUAACAUUUUGAAAUAAGUCAAAACUUUCAACAACGGAUCUCUUGGUUCUGGCAUCGAUGAAGAACGCAGCGAAAUGCGAUAAGUAAUGUGAAUUGCAGAAUUCAGUGAAUCAUCGAAUCUUUGAACGCACAUUGCGCCCAUUAGUAUUCUAGUGGGCAUGCCUGUUCGAGCGUCAUUACGACCCUUACGCCCUAGUUGCGUAGUGUUGGGAACCUUACCGCCCCUCGGGCGGUAAUUCCCCAAAGUCAGUUGGCAGAGUUGUGGCAUACUCUGAGCGUAGUAAUUCUUUUUCUCGCUCCUGAAGGUGUCGCGGCGAUCGCCAUAAAACCCCUAAUUUUCUAGUGGUUGACCUCGGAUCAGGUAGGAAUACCCGCUGAACUUAAGCAUAUCAAUAAGCGGAGGAAAAGAAACCAACAGGGAUUGCCUCAGUAACGGCGAGUGAAGCGGCAACAGCUCAAAUUUGAAAUCUGGCCUUCUGGUCCGAAUUGUAAUUUGUAGAGGAUGCUUUUGGUGCGGUACCUUCCGAGUUCCCUGGAACGGGACGCCUUAGAGGGUGAGAGCCCCGUACGGUUGGAUACCUAGCCUCUGUAUAGCUCCUUCGACGAGUCGAGUAGUUUGGGAAUGCUGCUCUAAAUGGGAGGUAAAUUUCUUCUAAAGCUAAAUACCGGCCAGAGACCGAUAGCGCACAAGUAGAGUGAUCGAAAGAUGAAAAGUACUUUGAAAAGAGGGUUAAAUAGUACGUGAAAUUGUUGAAAGGGAAGCGCUUAUGACCAGACCUUUGCCUGGCGGAUCAUCCGGUGUUCUCACCGGUGCACUUCGCCAGGUUGAGGCCAGCGUCGGUUCUUGGAGGGGGACAAAGGCUUCGGGAAUGUGACUCCUCUCGGGGAGUGUUAUAGCCCGUUGCGUAAUACCCUUCCGGGGACCGAGGUACGC